UACAGAGGUCCCGAGCGUUGUUCGGAUUCAUUGGGCGUAAAGGGUGCGUAGGCGGCGGGGCAAGUCUGAUGUGAAAUCCCGGGGCUCAACCCCGGAACUGCAUUGGAUACUGCUUUGCUAGAGUACUGGAGAGGGAACUGGAAUUUACGGUGUAGCAGUGAAAUGCGUAGAGAUCGUAAGGAAGGCCAGUGGCGAAGGCGAGUUCCUGGACAGUAACUGACGCUGAGGCACGAAGGCCAGGGGAGCAAACGGG
rnacentral:rRNA from 1 species